GUGCUCACUUUGGCAGCACAUAUGCUAAAAUUGGAAUGAUACAGAGAAGGUUAGCAUGGCCCUACCGCAAGCAUGACACACAAAUUCAUGAAGCAUUCCAUAUUAAA
ensembl:snRNA U6 U6 spliceosomal RNA